AUUUGUAUUAGUUGUUCCUACAUCUACUGUUAUAGUCGAGAUGUAGACUGAUUAGUGUAGUGGCAUCACUUGCUAGUUAAUUAGCCAUGAUUACCUCUGAUGGAACCGGAAGUUCCGUAGACUUGGGUAGCGUCACCCCCCUUUAGCCAGCCUUAAUGAUCCCCUUAUUGUUUUUCUAUUGUUUGUCCAUGUGUAAAUAUUUUAUGUUCCCUAAGUAUUUUUAUUACUACAAUAUUGUUGGGAUAAUGGCUUUAGCAAGUUGACAUGUUGCCGAUUUUAAUUUUUAAUGUAGAAGAUGGCUGCGUCCUACUCAACGCUCCAUGAUGGCUGCUUUGUUAAGCCAAAUCUAGAUUUGAUUUAUUAUUGUUGUCUGGCCCAACUGGUGUUGUGAUGUUGCUUUCAUUAGCUACAGGCUGGCUAUAAUUCCUGCCUGCCUGCCUGUCUGCCAACUGUUUGCCGCAGUUAUUACUGCCUAACUGCCUGCCUGUCCGCCACCUUUUUGGCAGUUAUUACUGCCAACUGUUUGCUGUCGUUAUUUCCACUGCCUAGCUGCCUUUAUUAGUAUAUUACUGCCACAGUUAAGCUGUCUGCUGUACUGUUGUGUUUAGUGUUGGUAUUUUUAGGUGUAAUCUAGUAAAGAUAGUUAGACAUUUGGGUUUCUUAUUAGUGUUGGUAGUGGUAUAGUCAGGUUGAUUAGUUGUUUAUUUCUAAGUUUAUUUAGUUGUUUCUGUAAAGUUUCUUUUUUUUGUAUUCAUCUAUAUUUUUAUUGCUUUGUAAGUUUGUUGUAAAUAAAGUGCAUAUAAGUUUUGUUUUAUAAA